rnacentral:snoRNA from 14 species
AUGUAUGAAUGCUAUCCACAACGGCUACAGGCAACCAUCUUCUUGGUAGUGUAUGAAGCCUGCUGCUUAUAAGGGCUACACUUAAGAACCUUGGGGACAGAU